AGUCAAGUAAUUAAGUGCAUGUGGUGGAUGCCUUGGCAGUCAGAGGCGAUGAAAGACGUGAUAGCCUGCGAAAAGCUCCGGGGAGGCGGCAAAUAUCCUUUGAUCCGGAGAUGUCUGAAUGGGGGAACCCACCUACUUUAAGGUAGGUAUUGCAACAUGAAUACAUAGUGUUGCAAGGCGAACGAGGGGAAGUGAAACAUCUCAGUACCCUUAGGAAAAGAAAUCAAUUGAGAUUCCCUCAGUAGCGGCGAGCGAACGGGGAUCAGCCCAUUAAGUUAUGUGUGUUUUAGUGGAACGCUCUGGGAAGUGCGAACGUAGAGGGUGAUAUUCCCGUACACGAAAGGGCACACAUAAUGAUGACGAGUAGGGCGAGGCACGUGAAACCUUGUCUGAAUAUGGGGGGACCAUCCUCCAAGGCUAAAUACUCCUGACUGACCGAUAGUGAACCAGUACCGUGAGGGAAAGGCGAAAAGAACCCCUGUGAGGGGAGUGAAAUAGAUCCUGAAACCGCAUGCAUACAAGCAGUGGGAGCACCUUCGUGGUGUGACUGCGUACCUUUUGUAUAAUGGGUCAGCGACUUAUAUUCAGUAGCGAGGUUAACCGUAUAGGGGAGCCGUAGAGAAAUCGAGUCUUAAUAGGGCGUUUAGUUGCUGGGUAUAGACCCGAAACCAGGCGAUCUAUCCAUGAGCAGGUUGAAGGUUGGGUAACACUAACUGGAGGACCGAACCCACUGUCGUUGAAAAGCCAGGGGAUGACUUGUGGAUAGGGGUGAAAGGCUAAUCAAGCCUGGUGAUAGCUGGUUCUCCCCGAAAGCUAUUUAGGUAGCGCCUCGGACGAAUACCAUAGGGGGUAGAGCACUGUUUCGGCUAGGGGGUCAUCCCGACUUACCAAACCGAUGCAAACUCCGAAUACCUAUGAGUACUAUCCGGGAGACAGACUGCGGGUGCUAACGUCCGUAGUCAAGAGGAAAACAAUCCAGACCGCCAGCUAAGGCCCCAAAAUCAUAGUUAAGUGGGAAACGAUGUGGGAAGGCAUAGACAGCUAGGAGGUUGGCUUAGAAGCAGCCACCCUUUAAAGAAAGCGUAAUAGCUCACUAGUCGAGUCGGCCUGCGCGGAAGAUGUAACGGGGCUAAAACUAUGUGCCGAAGCUGCGGAUGUAUACUUUGUAUACGUGGUAGGGGAGCGUUCUGUAAGCCGAUGAAGGUGUGUUGAGAAGCAUGCUGGAGGUAUCAGAAGUGCGAAUGCUGACGUGAGUAACGACAAAACGGGUGAAAAACCCGUUCGCCGAAAGACCAAGGGUUCCAGUCCAACGUUAAUCGGGGCUGGGUGAGUCGACCCCUAAGGCGAGGCCGAAAGGCGUAGUCGAUGGGAAAAUGGUUAAUAUUCCAUUACUUCUGUGUAAUGCGAUGAGAGGACGGAGAAGGCUAAAUCAGCCUGGCGUUGGUUGUCCAGGUGAAAGGAUGUAGGCAUGUAUCUUAGGCAAAUCCGGGGUACUCUAUGCUGAGAUCUGAUAGCAAGCUGUACUUGUACAGCGAAGUGGUUGAUGCCAUGCUUCCAGGAAAAGUCUCUAAGCUUCAGUUACACAGGAAUCGUACCCGAAACCGACACAGGUGGUCAGGUCGAGUAGACCAAGGCGCUUGAGAGAACUCUGCUGAAGGAACUAGGCAAAAUGGUACCGUAACUUCGGGAGAAGGUACGCUGUUGUUGGUGAUGGAACUCGCUUCCUGAGCUGACGACAGCCGCAGAAACCAGGCCGCUGCAACUGUUUAUUAAAAACAUAGCACUCUGCAAACACGAAAGUGGACGUAUAGGGUGUGAUGCCUGCCCGGUGCUGGAAGGUUAAUUGAUGGGGUUAGCGUAAGCGAAGCUCUUGAUCGAAGCCCCAGUAAACGGCGGCCGUAACUAUAACGGUCCUAAGGUAGCGAAAUUCCUUGUCGGGUAAGUUCCGACCUGCACGAAUGGCAUAAUGAUGGCGGCGCUGUCUCCAGCAGAGGCUCAGUGAAAUCGAAAUCGCUGUGAAGAUGCAGUGUACCCGCGGCUAGACGGAAAGACCCCGUGAACCUUUACUGCAGCUUGACACUGAACUUUGACCUUACUUGUGUAGGAUAGGUGGGAGGCUUUGAAGCUGGAACGCUAGUUCCAGUGGAGCCGUCCUUGAAAUACCACCCUGGUAAUGUUGAGGUUCUAACUCUGUCCCGUGAUCCGGGACGAGGACCGUGUCUGGUGGGUAGUUUGACUGGGGCGGUCUCCUCCUAAAGAGUAACGGAGGAGUACGAAGGUGCGCUCAGCGUGGUCGGAAAUCACGCGUAGAGUAUAAAGGCAAAAGCGCGCUUAACUGCGAGACCCACAAGUCGAGCAGGUACGAAAGUAGGUCUUAGUGAUCCGGUGGUUCUGUAUGGAAGGGCCAUCGCUCAACGGAUAAAAGGUACUCUGGGGAUAACAGGCUGAUACCGCCCAAGAGUUCAUAUCGACGGCGGUGUUUGGCACCUCGAUGUCGGCUCAUCUCAUCCUGGGGCUGAAGCAGGUCCCAAGGGUAUGGCUGUUCGCCAUUUAAAGAGGUACGCGAGCUGGGUUUAGAACGUCGUGAGACAGUUCGGUCCCUAUCUACCGUGGGCGCUGGAAAUUUGAGAGGAUCUGCUCCUAGUACGAGAGGACCAGAGUGGACGAACCUCUGGUGUACCGGUUGUGACGCCAGUCGCACCGCCGGGUAGCUAUGUUCGGAAGGGAUAACCGCUGAAAGCAUCUAAGCGGGAAGCCUACCUCAAGAUAAGAUUUCCCUAGGACUUUAUGUCCUCUAAAGAGCCGUUCGAGACUAGGACGUUGAUAGGUUGGAUGUGGAAGCAUAGUGAUAUGUGAAGCUGACCAAUACUAAUUGCUCGUGAGGCUUGACUAUACAACACCC
rnacentral:rRNA from 1 species